CCUCCGGAGGAGACAAGAAAGCCUAUAAUGGAAAACAAAGGCUGUUCCGGUGCCCAGCUGCUCGCGGCUGAUUGAAAGCCGGACCCAAGCGUCCCGCGCUCCAGCUCGCCGCCGGCCGCAUCCUCUCGCCUGCGCUGCCUCCAGCUAAUGAAAGUGUUACUCCACAAAGCAGCAAGGGUCCCUGUGGAGGGAACGGCAGAGACGACAGGUGGCCCGUUUUGCAGAUGAAGAAACUGUGGCUUGGAGAGGAAAGGAGAUUUAGCCACGGUCCCACGUGGGGCUCCUGGCAGGGCUCUGGCUCCCACGGGGCGGGCCCCCAGGGGCUGAGGACAAACCAGCCCCCCCCCCCCCCCCAGCCCCCACGACCCUCCGCUGUCAGCAGGAGGAUGCCCGGAGCCCAGCGGAGGUUUGAGGAAUUUUGUCCCGCAGUCAUAAAAGUGGAAGGCGUCCUGCCCAUUUGACUUGCAGCCUUGCCUCUUCUCUCAGGUACUGCUUUUUAUCUCCUCCUAAAAUGCGGCCGCCCUUAUCGUCCCAAUCUCGAAAUUCACUCCAUUUUUUUUAUUAUACAAAGGAGAAAAAAAUCUGUCGGUAAAACUGUCUCCACAAAUUUAUUCGCCGGGACUGAGGGUUUUAUUACUAGGAAAAUACACCUGCACCCCACACGUCCACACAUUCCCACACACCCCAGAUAAAGCACGGAAGAAUUAUCUGAGUCGUAAAUCACUGUUUCAGGCCGAGGGACAGGGGAGUUUCAAGGACGCACCUAGUUUUCCUUUGGUUUUAUUUACAUCUUUUUUUUUUUUUUUUUUUUUCCUGGGGCCAAGUCUGGGGCCUUCCUGUCAGCCUAGGAGGAAAUAACUGCUUCCCAUUAAAGCAGCCUGGGACAGCCAGAGCCCGAGGCUUGUGAUGUCCCUUCCCUGGGGCUCAGGGAAGGCUCUGGAAAGGGACUGCCUUGGAAUGCACCAUCAGGUCCCAGGCCAUGGGCCAGUGGCUAUUUGCAAGGAGGAUAUUCUGUGGUUCUUGGUGACAGCAGUCCCUGAGGUGAGGCUGGGUGGGGGGAGAGGGGUUAUCACAGGCCAUGGGUGGGCAGCAGGUGUGAUGAGUGACACCUUCUCUUUAAUUCUGGAAACAUGUUCCAGGCCUAAGACUUUCAGGCACUGUUCCAGGCCCCGGGGGAGAGGACGAACCACAUUUCAGAUGUGGCCGCAGUCCGUCUGGUGGGGAUACACAGCCCACAAGGACCUGAGACAGCAGAGCCAGGGAAAGUGAGGCUGUGGCAAAGAUAUUUGCCAACUGUGACCUGACACCCAUGGAGGGGCCAAGGAUUCUUCUGGGAGGAGGGGUGAUCACAGAAGGCUUCCGGGUGGAGGUGGGCCUCUUCAAAGGGUGCUUAGUCCCAGCCUGGUGCUCCCGGCCUGUGGGAGGCUUUCGGGCAAGAAGCAAGGCUGAUUUUCUCCACCCGCAGUCAAAUUCUUGAUUUCUGUUACUAACUUUCUGCGCCUCGCCUCUUCAAGCCUCAGCUUCCUCAUCUGUAAAAUGGGAUAAUGCAACCUACCUCUGUCCCUCUCAGGAGGAUUAAAUGAGAUGACAUUUGUAA